rnacentral:ncRNA from 1 species
UGGGCAAAACUGUUCAAAAGCAGUGACGCAAAACUAUAGGGUCUAAAUCAUAAGUGUAUGACAUGACAGCCAGCUGCA